GCUCAGGAUGAACGCUGGCGGCGUGCCUAACACAUGCAAGUCGAACGAAGCAAUUUAACGGAAGUUUUCGGAUGGAAGUUGAAUUGACUGAGUGGCGGACGGGUGAGUAACGCGUGGGUAACCUGCCUUGUACUGGGGGACAACAGUUAGAAAUGACUGCUAAUACCGCAUAAGCGCACAGUAUCGCAUGAUACAGUGUGAAAAACUCCGGUGGUACAAGAUGGACCCGCGUCUGAUUAGCUAGUUGGUAAGGUAACGGCUUACCAAGGCGACGAUCAGUAGCCGACCUGAGAGGGUGACCGGCCACAUUGGGACUGAGACACGGCCCAAACUCCUACGGGAGGCAGCAGUA
rnacentral:rRNA from 1 species